rnacentral:rRNA from 1 species
GACGGACGCUGGCGGCGUGCUUAACACAUGCAAGUCGAGCGGUAAGGCCCUUUCGGGGGUACACGAGCGGCGAACGGGUGAGUAACACGUGGGUGACCUGCCUCUAGCUCUGGGAUAAGCCCGGGAAACUGGGUCUAAUACUGGAUAUGACUCCAUGACGCAUGUUGUGGGGUGGAAAGCCUUGUGCGGCUAGAGAUGGGCCCGCGGCCUAUCAGCUUGUUGGUGGGGGAUGGCCUACCAAGGCGACGACGGGUAGCCGGCCUGAGAGGGCGACCGGCCACACUGGGACUGAGACACGGCCCAGACUCCUACGGGAGGCAGCAGUGGGGAAUCUUGCGCAAUGGGCGAAAGCCUGACGCAGCGACGCCGCGUGAGGGAUGACGGCCUGGUGUAAC